GAAACUAACACUGGGCAAGCGCAGAAACCUUGUCAAAGAAGAGUGAAAACGUUUGCUUCUUUCUGAUAAAACAUAUCAUUUCUAGUCUUUAAAUUAACUAAAAGUAACCUGGAUUACCGUCCUGAAAGUAAAUUGACGAGAUUUAUCACGAUUUCAGACACGAGAUUUACCGGUAAUUUUUUAUAUAAAAAUGCAUUGGACAAUCCUCAUUUGCAUAAAAAACCUUCAUCCCACAUGUCCGGAGUUACGAGAGUGUUUGGCAGUUAAAUACAACGUUGUCACAGUGUAAGACGUGCUUGCUUCGGCAGCACAUAUACUAAAAUUGGAACGAUACAGAGAAGAUUAGCAUGGCCCCUGCGCAAGGAUGACACGCAAAUUCGUGAAGCGUUCCAAAUUUUUAACCUUUUGGAAGCUUGAGAAACGUUUAUUUUAACGUCUGGUGUACAUAUUAUUACAAGAGGAAGUCGUUUUGAUGCUGCAUGCUUUGGUUUUAUCGAUUAAUCUAUGAUCGUGUGGCACCAGAAUAUAAGGAUCGUCAAGAUAUAAGAUGAAAUUAAACGAUGAAAUUUCCUCUUCAUCAAGAUCAAGAAUGAUAAUUGAACACCGAUAGUCAUAUGUACAGUGAGCGAGACCAAAGACAUUAUCGACCAUGGAAGUAAACAUUCUUCAUAUGAAUUUUACUCUUCUCAACUGCGUGUAUGGAAUUCACACCUUACCAAAUUAGGUACGAUAACCGUGUAUUACACAGAGAAAGAACAGUUAAAUAAUGCCAGUAUACAGAGAUAAAUUAUUGAAAGAUAUUAGAACCUGACAGGAUUUUAUUAGUACAUAGGGAUAGCUAUAGGAAUUAUGGUAGACAGCAAAGACAUCUUGAUUUAUGGACAUGAGGAAUAAACCCUCUUCAUUUACACCUCAAGAAGUAAAGUUAACACCUUGCCAAAACAGGUUACUGUGUAUUAGACCAGACAGUAAAUUAGUCCCAGUAAAAUGUAUACAAGUAAGCGAUUGAUACAGGUUUGGCUCUGAGAAGAGAUAAAACACUGGCAAUCCGUAGCCAUAAGAACAGACAGAGAGCCACAAAUGAGUAAAAUUCACAUUUUUGCCAAAACUGGUUUCUUUGUAUUCCCACCAAGCUCUUUUUAUUAUCCAUGAUAUUACAUUACAGUAAAAUAAAUUCCAGUCAAAUGUACAGGGGGUCUGGAGAUAUUAGGGUCUAGCUACCUGUAGAAAGCAAACACUGAAAGUCAUAUGCAUAGUGAAAAAGAGGAAAGGCAUUAUGGACAUCUGUCAUAACACCUUGACUCCUGCAAGUGCUAACGUUCACACCUGUUCCACACAGAAAACAUCCAAUUCCAAUGUAAUAAUGUAUAAUUACACACAUGAAGAGCAGUAAAAAGCUACUGUAUAUAGGUAUACAGAGGAUUGAGGGAUACAUUAUAUACAUGUACCUCUAUUCAGUGUUUAAUCCAGGCAAAACAUCCAGGAAAACCUCCAAUUACUGUUCAAAGAAGUCGUUUUGAAAUUGAUCAUUCUGAGUUUUGAGUUUCUCACUCAUGAUGAGAUUUCCCAACAGGCUAUUGUCCAAUUGAUAGGGGAUCCAAGGUACCUAUGAUUUAAUCUCCUUAUCCGAGAAGACAUGAAAGUCUAACCAUUUACUGAUGUCAAAGGAAAAGGUGUAAUUCUUUCUCCUCAGUUAUUUUAAGACCUUGAGUAGAGGUCUGACUAAGGAUUGAAAUUUGAACACGGGUCUCUCAGCUGGAAAGGCUAGUGUCAUGACCACAACACCACAUGUGCUGGUAUUCUGUUUGAUUGAUUGAUUGUCUGUCUGUUAUUGUAUAUUUAUUCAAGUGAGAUUCUAUCACCAAUUUCUACACAAACAAUUU
rnacentral:lncRNA from 1 species